GACGUAGGGUGCGAGCGUUGUCCGGAUUUAUUGGGCGUAAAGAGCUCGUAGGCGGCUCGUCGCGUCUGCCGUGAAAACCCGCAGCUCAACUGCGGGCUUGCGGUUGAUACGGGCGGGCUGGAGUUCGGUAGGGGAGACUGGAAUUCCUGGUGUAGCGGUGAAAUGCGCAGAUAUCAGGAGGAACACCGGUGGCGAAGGCGGGUCUCUGGGGCCGAUACUGACGCUGAGGAGCGAAAGCGUGGGGAGCGAACAGG
rnacentral:rRNA from 1 species